rnacentral:rRNA from 1 species
AAAUUGAAGAGUUUGAUCAUGGCUCAGAUUGAACGCUGGCGGCAGGCCUAACACAUGCAAGUCGAGCGGUAGCACAGAGAGCUUGCUCUCGGGUGACGAGCGGCGGACGGGUGAGUAAUGUCUGGGAAACUGCCUGAUGGAGGGGGGAUAACUACUGGAAACGGUAGCUAAUACCGCAUAAUGUCGCAAGACCAAAGUGGGGGACCUUCGGGCCUCAUGCCAUCAGAUGUGCCCAGAUGGGAUUAGCUAGUAGGUGGGGUAACGGCUCACCUAGGCGACGAUCCCUAGCUGGUCUGAGAGGAUGACCAGCCACACUGGAACUGAGACACGGUCCAGACUCCUACGGGAGGCAGCAGUGGGGAAUAUUGCACAAUGGGCGCAAGCCUGAUGCAGCCAUGCCGCGUGUGUGAAGAAGGCCUUCGGGUUGUAAAGCACUUUCAGCGGGGAGGAAGGCGAUAAGGUUAAUAACCUUGUCGAUUGACGUUACCCGCAGAAGAAGCACCGGCUAACUCCGUGCCAGCAGCCGCGGUAAUACGGAGGGUGCAAGCGUUAAUCGGAAUUACUGGGCGUAAAGCGCACGCAGGCGGUCUGUCAAGUCGGAUGUGAAAUCCCCGGGCUCAACCUGGGAACUGCAUUCGAAACUGGCAGGCUAGAGUCUUGUAGAGGGGGGUAGAAUUCCAGGUGUAGCGGUGAAAUGCGUAGAGAUCUGGAGGAAUACCGGUGGCGAAGGCGGCCCCCUGGACAAAGACUGACGCUCAGGUGCGAAAGCGUGGGGAGCAAACAGGAUUAGAUACCCUGGUAGUCCACGCCGUAAACGAUGUCGAUUUGGAGGUUGUGCCCUUGAGGCGUGGCUUCCGGAGCUAACGCGUUAAAUCGACCGCCUGGGGAGUACGGCCGCAAGGUUAAAACUCAAAUGAAUUGACGGGGGCCCGCACAAGCGGUGGAGCAUGUGGUUUAAUUCGAUGCAACGCGAAGAACCUUACCUGGUCUUGACAUCCACAGAACUUUCCAGAGAUGGAUUGGUGCCUUCGGGAACUGUGAGACAGGUGCUGCAUGGCUGUCGUCAGCUCGUGUUGUGAAAUGUUGGGUUAAGUCCCGCAACGAGCGCAACCCUUAUCCUUUGUUGCCAGCGGUUAGGCCGGGAACUCAAAGGAGACUGCCAGUGAUAAACUGGAGGAAGGUGGGGAUGACGUCAAGUCAUCAUGGCCCUUACGACCGGGCUACACACGUGCUACAAUGGCAUAUACAAAGAGAAGCGACCUCGCGAGAGCAAGCGGACCUCAUAAAGUAUGUCGUAGUCCGGAUUGAGUCUGCAACUCGACUCCAUGAAGUCGGAAUCGCUAGUAAUCGUAGAUCAGAAUGCUACGGUGAAUACGUUCCCGGGCCUUGUACACACCGCCCGUCACACCAUGGGAGUGGGUUGCAAAAGAAGUAGGUAGCUUAACCUUCGGGAGGGCGCUUACCACUUUGUGAUUCAUGACUGGGGUGAAGUCGUAACAAGGUAACCGUAGGGGAACCUGCGGUUGGAUCACCUCCUUACCUUAAAGAA